UUUCUAAAGCUUCGAGUCUCCUAGUUAGGGUAGCUAAUUUGGCAUCGGUUGCCACAUUGUUUCGUAUCGAGUGCAAACCCCUAGAGCUAGAGCUAGACGACUCGAUCGACUUUUUAGGUUCCCUAGUUGACUCCCACAACAUAGUCUUUUCAGCUAAAUCCUCGAAAAAUUCCCACCCUUGGUCCUCAUCUUUCUCCAUGAAUUUGCCUUGGCACAUAGACUCUAACAAAGCGGUUGUUUGACUAUCUAAGGCCUCGUACACAAUUUUGCAAAGUCUCCAUUUUUCAAUUCCAUGGUGGGGGCAUUGUGAUAGAAGAUUUUUGAAACGAUCAAAGAAUUUCCAAAAAGACUCAUUUUCCUU
rnacentral:lncRNA from 1 species